rnacentral:lncRNA from 1 species
UUUAAUUUCAGUUAUUUUUAUCAAGACAUUUCAAUAAAAUCUUUCCUUUAUUCAUUUUUAAAAAUCAUUCAUUUGUUCAAUCAUUUCGUUAGUUUUAUAUUAUAAUACUUCUUUCUUUCAUUUUUCUUCUUUUUUUUUUUUUUGCUUUGUUUUGCUUUCUUGGAGUUCGCUUCAUUUUUAUUCAUCUCACGUAUUAUCAGCAAUGGAAGACUGUAAGACAUGUUAAAAAAUAGAUUUUCUGGGGGGACUUGAAGGACAUUUCUGGGAUGGAAUGGGGGUGUUGGGUGUAUGAUUUCGGUGGGUUAAAGGGAAUUGGUAGGAAAAAUUUGCGUGUGAUAGAAAUAGAGAUAGAUUGAUGAGAUGAAGGGAGAGGAAAGACAUCUGCAUUUGUGUGUGUGUGUGUGUGUGUGCUUGCUUUUGCAUGUGAGUUCAGAUAUGUGUGUCUGAAUAUAUUGCGACAGUGGAUGACUAUUUCUGAUCAGGUUUUUAAAAAAUCCUUAGUGUUAUAUAACAGUAAAUAUUCUUGAGUUUUGUGUGUUUAUGCGAAUGUGUCUAUGUGCAUGUGAAUGAGUACAAAUAAGAUUAAACUAGCGUUUGUAUUUCUGUGUGUGCUAGCUUUCUAUCUAAUGUUUAGGACACCGAGUUGGGGUGAAGGGCGUGAAAAAUAUUUACAGAGGGGAAAAAGGGAAUGACUGAAUAAAAAUAAAAAAUGUACAAUCUUUUGAUAGUUCACUUAAUAUCAUUCGUGUUCGUGUGUAUUCAUUUACUAUAAGCUGAAGUUUCAUCCCGUCGCCAUUCCGAGUUUCUUGUUCUUGAAACAUCGAAUAACGGUAUAACUACUACAUUUAUUCAAUACUUUUGCCCUCUCGUUCGAACAUCCAAACGUAUGCACUCAUACGCGCGUGUCUGAAUAACCAAAUAGGUAUGUGAGCACGUAAAUGUGUACGUGUAUAUCUAUAUCUAUAUCUAUAUCUAUAUAUAUAUAUAUAUACACGCGCACAUAAGCAGAUAUGCGUGUGUAUAUAUAUAUAUAUAUAUAUAUACAUAUACAUACACGCGCACAUAAGCAGAUAUGCGUGUGUGUAUAUAUAUGUAUGUAUAUAUAUAUGUAUACGCACACAAGCAGAUAUGCGCGUGUGUGUGUGUAUAUAUAUAUAUAUAUAUAUAGACGCACACAAGCAGAUAUGUGUGUGUGUGUGUGUAUAUAUAUAUAUAUAUAGACGCACACAAGCAGAUAUGUGUGUGUGUGUGUAUAUAUAUAUAUGUAUAUAGACGCACACAAGCAGAUAUGUGUGUGUGUGUGUAUAUAUAUAUAUAUAAUGUUCACAUACACACAUACAUUAAUAAACAAAAUGUAAGCAGGAAACGAGUAGAAUGUCGCUUGAUUUCUAUCUGAUGGACUGUAAGUUUAUACUACUGGGAAUCAGAGAGAGAAAAUGUCUGUCACAAAACACACACUAUUUCUCAACUAACCAAUCAGGUGGUUUCUUCCAUCGUGUGAAGGAAAUGGAGACUGGCUAGAUUUGAAGGUUACUAACAGGGGAAAAAAAAUUAUGAUCAAAACCAUUCUAGCCAUAAGCACUUCACGCUUUCCUCUAUUAUUCAAUGAGCUUCUCAUUCCUUUUCGAAAAGGAAGAUUUAUUUGAAGGCGAUUUGAUUGCUACUAUCAGCAAACUGAGCGAUCACGAUGAGGUUUUCUCAUACAUGGGCCUAUCAUAUAUUAAUCGCGUGCGGUCUCGCUGGUGGCUUUUGGGAAAUUAAGAAUUAAUAUUAUUUAUAUAUUUGCAAGAACAUUGAAUGGGUAUUAAUGCAGUAGCUGCAAAGAUUUUCAACAUAAAACGAUGUUGGAAAUCUUCUAAGCUAAAAGCUCAGUCCUGUAAUGAUUGUGCUUCAGAUCACAAAUCAAUCAUAGAAAAAGGGAUUAGUUUUUCUCCCCUUAUAUUAUAGAGUUCCUAUGUUACUUAAAAAAUGAAUGUAAACACUGUUCGUUUGAUUCUUAGACUACCGUGCAUUUCAAAACUGGUUCACCGAUGCCGCCCCGUGUGGUACUGUCACACAGAAAGCGCUAUAAUCACCCUUCGACGAGUAACCUUGUAGGUCUUUUCUGUCGGAGGAUGGUCAUGUCUUCUAUAUCUAGGAUGUUUUAUUAAGCUAACACUACUAUUUGACUGGUACUUUACGAGAAAGGAUCACAGGCGAAGAUGACCUCCCUGGGAUUCGAACACAGAAGGUAAAGAACCGGAACAAACACCGCAAAACAUUUCGUCCGAAAAUCUAACGAUUUUACCAAUCCCAUGACCCUGAUACUAAAUACUAAAAAUUCUUUCAAAUUUUGGCUGAAAGGCAGCAAUUUUGAGGAGAAAAGGACAAAUCGAUAACAUCAACCUCAGUAUAUGACUGGUACCUUAUUUUAUUGACUCCGAAAGGAUAAAAGGAAACGUUGACCUCGGUAGAAUUUGAACUCAGAGUGUUAAGAUCCAUCACAAAUACUACAAGGCAGGUUUUCUUGACGUUCUAGCAAGUCUACCAAUCCACUGCCAUGAGAUUAUUAAUAACUAUAAUUUCUAAUAAUUUUAAGCAUGACUCAACACCUUAAGAUACGUGUGACGUGCAUCUGACCAACUUCACCCAGGGUGGAUAAAAGAGAAUGGUGGGGGGAUGGGGACAAUUUGAUCAGGUAUUGGCUGUUUUAACGGAGAGGAGAAAAAUAACUGAGUAGCUGAUCAAUCAUAAUCGAUAUCGAUCACCAGAACCGUCUGAUUGUGAAGUAAACUGUGAUGAAAUCAGAGUCGGUCACUAGAGGUCAGCGUCUUUAUUAUUAUUAUUAUUAUCAGUUCAGUGUGUAAUAGCUUCUACUAACUUAAGGAAAGAUGAAUGCAACACUGAAGCUGUAAUGUUUAUGAUGUUCUUACACAGCAUCAAAGACGAAGCUAAGGUUAAAUGCUGUCAAAGGCAGAUCGUGGACAGCAUAACUAUAUUCUACAAAGGCUAAAAACAGAGUCGCACUUCGAAUUCUUUCAGUAUAGUGGCAACCGCCAUGAUUUAGUGGGUAUUCGGUGCCAUCAGCUGCGAUAUUUCUUCAGGGAUACGAUCCGAGUUCAAAUUUCACGGAGGUCAUCUUUGUGUUUUAUCUAAGAAUCAAACGAACAGUGUUUACAUUCAUAUAUGUAUGAGGAUGCUGCGGUUACCUAUGAUAGUAGAUGGAUGCUGAGAGAGGUUUAUGAUAAUGUCUAGUUAGAGUUGUGGGAAAGUAUAAAUUGCAAAUAAUGAGAAAUAAUUUCAAAUUUUGGCACAAGGCCAGCAAUUUCGGGGAGGUGGAGAUAAGUCGAUUACAUCGACCCUAGUGAGCGACUGGUAUUCUUUUUGUUGAUCCCCGAAAGGAUGCAAUAAGUACCAGCAGACCACUGAGGUCUGUGUAAUAGAUUUUCCCCUCCCCAUAAAAUUGCUAGCCUUGUGCCUUUUGUAGAAAGAAUUAUUAAAAAAUAAAAAGAAGGCGGCGAGCAGAACCUGUUCAAAUCCCAAGUCCGGACAAGAUACCCAUCAACAACUUCAGCUUCCGUGGUUUAUAGUUCAAGAGCCUAAAUACAGAAGCGAUGAAAAUAAGCACAGUUGCAUCAAAUUGCGAAGACGCUGUACAUAAUACCCGAAAAGGGAUCGGAAGCAAAUGUUGAUGGUUGACUUAAUCAAACACCUUCAAUUAAUCUAAAUAAAUUAGAGCCUCAAUGAAGCUAUAUUCAUUACAAAUUUUCUCAAUAGAAAAUAUUUGUAUAUCAUAAUUUUUCAUCAUAUAAAGACCAGCUGACUAUUUCGUAUUUUUGCGGCGGUAAUUUAUUUCAGAAAUAGUGUAUUUGCUUGUAAAUAGCAUUAAACGAGAAAUUUAAUCUGUUUCAAUUAAUACGUAUUUGUACACACGAUCUUUUAGUACAACUGAUCUGUAAGAAUACUUUAAAAUUAUCCUGUAUUAUGAAUUUAGAGAAUGCAUUAAUUUUAUUUCUCGUAAUUUUUUUUGACUUCUGUACUCAAUCCAGUUUGAAGAACCACAACUAGACAGCGUUUCCCGAAUAGUUAUCUCCCUUGAAAAUUCUUUUAAAAUUAAUGAUAGUUAUUUCCCUUGAAUUAUAGUAAAUUUUUUUUAUACUUUGUCUAAGGGAGAUAAUUCUCAUAACUAUCCUUAUGAAAAUCUAUCAAUGUUUUAUUUUUAGCGCCAGAGAUAGAAGAAACGUGAUUAUAGAGACGAUCAAAGACAAUUAAAUAGCCUUUUAGAAUAUGGUUCGCGUAUAAACUUAAAAUUUCAUUCGUAUUAGUAUGGAAAGUUGCUGUUUAAUGGAUAUAUAAAAGGAAAUACAAGCAUAAACAUAAUUAUUACUGACGAACCGGUGGAAUCGUUAGUAUGCCGGAUAAAACUUUUAGCAAUAUUUCUUCCGUAUUUACGUUCUGAGUUCAAAUUCUACCGAGAUCGACUUUGCCUUUUAUCCUUUCGGUAUCGAUAUAAUCUACUUGUUCCUCCCGCAAAACUGCUGAUCUCGUGCCUAUUAUUGUAGAAAGAAGUAUUCAAAAAUAAAGGUAGCGGCGAACAGACCAAAUAAUUAGUAGGCCGGACAAAAUGCUUAGCGGCAUUUUGUCCGUUUUUACGAUUUCACCGAUGUCGACUUUACCUUUCGUUCUUUCGAGGUCAAUGAGAUAAGUACUAGUUGAACAAGGGGGUACAAUCAACUAGCUUACUCACCACCCCCGAAUUUUAGGCCUCGUUCCUAUUGAAAAAUUAUUUUUAUUCUUAAGUACCAGAAAAAAACCCCAAAAAAACUGGGGGUCAAUGUAAUCGACUAGUCCCCUCCCACCAAAUUUCAGGCCUUGUGCCUUUAGUAGAAAUGAUUAUUAUUAUUAUUAAAAUGGUUAUGGUCAACUUUGCUUAUCAAUAUUCCAGGAUCGAUAAAAUAAAGUACCAGUAAUGUACUGGGAGUAAAUAUUACCGACAGUUUUCCCUCUACCAGAAUUUAUGAUCUUUUUUUGUCUAUUAGAAACCAUAGUUACCAUUAAUUGGCGCCGAUGAAUGAUCAAAGUCCGGAUCGGCGGAUACGCUUCUGUGCCACACGUCAAAUAAACACCUUUUGAUCCUCGCGGGUACAAGAGGGGGUGGGGUGGGAGUCUUCUUCAGUUGUACUUAAAGCUGCCAGUAUAUAUAUGUUUACGCACGUGUGCGUAUAUGUAUGAGGAUGCUGCGGUUCUCUAUGAUAGAAGAUGAAGGCUGAGAGAGGUUUAUGAGAAUGUCUAGUGAGAGUUGUGGGAACGUUUAAAUUGCAAAUAGUGAGAAAUAAUUUCAAAUUUUGGCACAGGGCCAGCAAUUUCGGGGGAGUGGGGGUAAAUCGAUUACAUCGACCCUAGUGAGCGACUGGUAUUCUUUUUAUCGAUUCCCGAAAGGAUGAAAGGCAAAGUCGACCUCGGUGGAAUUUGAACUCAGAAUGUAAAGACGGACGAAUAAGCAUCUUGCUAGGCGUGCUAACGAUUCUACCAGUUCGUCACCUUUAACAACUACAAUAAUAAUAAUAAUGUGUGAGGGCGCGUGGCUUAGUGGCUAGGGCAUUCGGCUCACGACCGUAAGGUCGAGAGUUCAGUUCCCGGCGACGCGUUUUGUCCUUGAGCAAGACACUUUAUUUCACGUUGCUCCCCAGUCCACUCAAGUGGCAAAAGUGAGUAGUACCUGUAUUUCAAAGUCUUGUCACACUUUGUGUCACGCUGAAUGUCCAUGAGAACUACGUUGAGGGUACAUGUGUUUGUGAAGUGCUCAGCCACUUGCAGUUAAUUUCACGAGCAAGCUGCUUCGUUGAUCGGAUCAGCUGGGACCCACGUCGUCGUAACUGACGGAGUGCUCCUUAAUAAUAAUAAUAAUAAUAAUAAUAAUUACUACUAUAAGCACAAAGCCUGAAAUCUUGUGGGGAAGAGGGGUAAGUCGAUUACAUCGACCUCAUUAAUUGAUAGGUACUCACGUUGUCAGUCCCAGAAAAGAUGAAAGGCAAAGUCGACCGCGACGGAAUUUGAACUCAAAAGCGAAAGCCGCUAAACAUUUGGUCUGACGUAUUAAAGAUUCAACCAGCUAAUCGCUUCAACAACAACAACAAUGAUGAUGGUGGUAAUAGUAGCUUCAAAUGUUUGGCAGAAGGCCAGCAAUUUUAGCACUGGUAGGGGCUUAAUUGAUUUUAUUAACCCCAGGGCUCAAAUGAAUAUUAAUAACUGAGCGGCCAGACGGAGCUUUGCUAGACGGACUGACCCGUAUAGAGGAGAAAUCCAGCCUUAUACACUUCCUUUAGCCAUCAAACAUCCCAAUGAUGACGAUGACAUUUUUCUUACGUUCGUUUGAAUUAACUGUUUUUAAGCGUUCCUGGAUUAUCGAUCAGUUCUUUCCAACACCCACACACUCACGUAUAAACACAACCACACACUCUCACCACGUUGCUGUUCUCUUUCGCCUUCCAAACUAUACACAACACCACCGAUUUGACUCCCAUUGCCCCUCCUCUUUACAGUUGCCUAGUGGAUAAGAUAUUUUAAAUACCUGUUUCUUUAUUACCCACAAGGGGCUAAACAUUAGAGGGCCACAAACAAAGACAGACAUAGGUAUUAAGUCGACUACAUCGACCCCAGUGUGUAACUGGUACUUAAUUUAUCGACCCCGAAAGGAUGAAAGGCAAAGUCGACCUCGGCGGAAUUUGAACUCAGAACGUAGCGGCAGACGAAAUACUGCUACGCAUUUCGCCCGGCGUGCUAACGUGUCUGCCAACUCGCCACCCUAAAAGAUAUUUUUAAUACCUUAACAUAGAAAUAAAGCUUACUGAUUCGAAUCCAAUCUGAAAUUGGAAUAAGCCUCCCAAUGUUUAAUGGGGACCAAACGUAUUGAAAUGUAGUAAUAGUAGUAGUAUGGGACAUGUGCUGUAACAUUGUGUCGCUGCACCCGCCAGUAACACCAUACCCCAGCCACCUCCAUCACAGAUACAAAAUGGAAAUAUUUACCUGGGUGUCUUUUAAAAGACGCAAUACAUAACAUGACUUUAUAGUUAGGCCCCUAAAACAGAACCUUUGUGUUUGUCACUGAAGCAGGAACAAAGAUACUUUGUAGGGAUGAUGGUGGUGACGGUUUUGGGGUUUAGGUGCAAUUUAUUAAAGAAAACCCAAAAAAAACGAAGAGGUUAUUUAACCCCAACUAAGCACUGCUUGCAUAGACCCAUGAUCACUGGUGCUUCAUCAGCGACUAUCCCAUCUAUCAUUCGGGCUGUCUAUCUAGGACAACAUUAUCCAAAGUGUCUUUACUUAAAGACAACAGGACAUGAUUCAAGGGAGAUUUGACUUCUAUUUCUAGCAGAUAGAAUGACUACAUAUUCACUCCUUCAUUCAUGUUGCUCUUUAAUCACAGAUCAAUUCUAACUAUUCCAACUAUGAACACUGCAAUGCUAAUAACCUGAUGUUAGAACCUAAGCACAUAUAUACAUGUAUGUAUACACACACACACAUAUAUAUAUAUAUAUAUAUAUAUAUAUAUAUAUAUAUAUAUUUAUGGGUGUAGGAGUGGCUGUGUGGUAAGUAGCUCGCUUACCAACCACAUGGUUCCGGUUUCAGUCACACUGCGUGGCACCUUGGGCAAGUAUCUUCUACUAUAGCCUCGGACCAACCAAAGCCUUCAGUAGAUUUGGAAGAUGGAAACUGAAAGAAGCCAGUCCUGUGUGUGUGUGUGUGUGUGUGUAUAUAUAUAUAUAUAUAUAUAUAUAUAUAUAUUACUGUUUACUCUUUUACUUGUUUCAGUCAUUUGAAAACAAUAAAAG